AACGACGGGUAGCUGGUCUGAGAGGACGAUCAGCCACACUGGAACUGAGACACGGUCCAGACUCCUACGGGAGGCAGCAGUGGGGAAUUUUGCGCAAUGGGCGAAAGCCUGACGCAGCAACGCCGCGUGUGUGAUGAAGGUCUUCGGAUUGUAAAGCACUUUCGACCGGGACGAAAACCUUCGACCUAACACGUCGAAGUCUGACGGUACCGAGUGAGGAAGCCCCGGCUAACUCUGUGCCAGCAGCCGCGGUAAUA
rnacentral:rRNA from 1 species